rnacentral:rRNA from 1 species
CGUCGGUAAGGUGAUAUGAACCGUUAUAACCGGCGAUUUCCGAAUGGGGAAACCCAGUGUGUUUCGACACACUAUCAUUAACUGAAUCCAUAGGUUAAUGAGGCGAACCGGGGGAACUGAAACAUCUAAGUACCCCGAGGAAAAGAAAUCAACCGAGAUUCCCCCAGUAGCGGCGAGCGAACGGGGAGAAGCCCAGAGCCUGAAUCAGUGUGUGUGUUAGUGGAAGCGUCUGGAAAGGCGCGCGAUACAGGGUGACAGCCCCGUACACAAAAAUGCACAUACUGUGAGCUCGAUGAGUAGGGCGGGACACGUGGUAUCCUGUCUGAAUAUGGGGGGACCAUCCUCCAAGGCUAAAUACUCCUGACUGACCGAUAGUGAACCAGUACCGUGAGGGAAAGGCGAAAAGAACCCCGGCGAGGGGAGUGAAAAAGAACCUGAAACCGUGUACGUACAAGCAGUGGGAGCCUCUUUAUGGGGUGACUGCGUACCUUUUGUAUAAUGGGUCAGCGACUUAUAUUCUGUAGCAAGGUUAACCGAAUAGGGGAGCCGAAGGGAAACCGAGUCUUAACUGGGCGUUAAGUUGCAGGGUAUAGACCCGAAACCCGGUGAUCUAGCCAUGGGCAGGUUGAAGGUUGGGUAACACUAACUGGAGGACCGAACCGACUAAUGUUGAAAAAUUAGCGGAUGACUUGUGGCUGGGGGUGAAAGGCCAAUCAAACCGGGAGAUAGCUGGUUCUCCCCGAAAGCUAUUUAGGUAGCGCCUCGUGAAUUCAUCUCCGGGGGUAGAGCACUGUUUCGGCAAGGGGGUCAUCCCGACUUACCAACCCGAUGCAAACUGCGAAUACCGGAGAAUGUUAUCACGGGAGACACACGGCGGGUGCUAACGUCCGUCGUGAAGAGGGAAACAACCCAGACCGCCAGCUAAGGUCCCAAAGUCAUGGUUAAGUGGGAAACGAUGUGGGAAGGCCCAGACAGCCAGGAUGUUGGCUUAGAAGCAGCCAUCAUUUAAAGAAAGCGUAAUAGCUCACUGGUCGAGUCGGCCUGCGCGGAAGAUGUAACGGGGCUAAACCAUGCACCGAAGCUGCGGCAGCGACACUAAGUGUUGUUGGGUAGGGGAGCGUUCUGUAAGCCUGUGAAGGUGUG